UAGGGAAUAUUGCUUAAUGGGCGAAAGCCUGAAGCAGCAACGCCGCGUGCGCGAUGAAGGCCUUCGGGUUGUAAAGCGCUUUUAGCUGGGAAGAGGAAGGACGGUACCUGCGGAAUAAGCCUCGGCUAACUACGUGCCAGCAGCCGCGGUAAAACGUAGGAGGCGAGCGUUAUCCGGAUUUACGGGGUGUAAAGCGCGUGCAGGCGGAUUGCUAAGUUGAGUGUGAAAGGUCCUGGCUCAACGGGGGGAGGUCGUGCGAGAAUGGGGGCAUGGAAAGCAGGAGAGGGAAGUGGAAGUCCAGGUGUAGGGGUGAAAUGAGUAGAUAUCGGAAGGAACAGCAGUGGCGAAGGCGACCUUCUGGACUACUAGUGACGCUGAGACGCGAAAGCGAGGGGAGCAAACGG
rnacentral:rRNA from 1 species